rnacentral:rRNA from 1 species
CUCGGCAAAAUCCCAAUGGCCCACCAGGGCAUAUUGGAACACGGGCCUCGACUGUUUACCAAAAACAUAGCCCUCGGCUAAUAUGAAAAUAGAUGUAUAGAGGGUGAUGCCUGCCCAAUGGUUGUAUCUAAAAGCGGUUGAUAAAAGUUGACCUCGUAAGGACAAUUGAAUGGCCGCGGUAACACUGACCGUGAUAAUGUAGCGGAAUCAAUAGCCAAUUAAUUGUUGGCCAGUAUGAAUGGCGCCACGAAGGCCCCACUGUCUUAAGGAAAUUCCCAGUGAAAUUGAAUUCGUAGUGAAGAUGCUACGUCCAAUUUGUUAGACGAAAAGACCCCGUUGAGCUUUACUGGAGCACUUACAUGGCCCCGGCCUUCCCAUGCCUGGGAACCCGCCGAAUUUAAAUGGGCGGCUUAGAUUAUGUGGCAGCCCCCCGCUGGGGCAAAUGAAACACCACUCCCCCAUGUCAAAGGGGCUAACCCCCCCCCCUUGGGGGGACAGUGUAAGUAGGACAGUUUGGUUGGGGCGACCACCUUUUAAAAAGUAACGAAGGUGCGCUUAAGGUGCGCAAUUAAUGACUGAAGCCUGACUGCGAGGGGGACACCCCGAGCAGACACCCCAAAGCCCGCCCGAAAGGCGGCGGUGGGGUGGGCCAUAGUGACCCGUUAAUUUAGAGUGGAAUAGUUAACGAUCAACGAAUAAAAG